rnacentral:lncRNA from 1 species
UUUUUUUUUUUUUUUUUUUUUUUUUUUGUCUUUCUAGGGCCAUACCUGCGGCAUAUAGAGGUUCCCAGGUGCAGCCAUAAAAAGGAAAAAAAAAUUAUACUUUAUUAAAAAAAAAAAAACAAAGGGACAAAAAACUGGUCAGACAGACUGAGGUCAGAAUGUUCUUGACCUUCUCGAUGUUUCUGCCUUACUCAAUCAUACAGUCGAGGCAUAAAAGCAAAUCAAGAGGAAGUAUGUAAGGAAAAACCCUCCUGGCAUCUCUAACUUGCACUGGCUUCCCCAGUGGCCUGGCCAGUUUCCGACGGUGGGGAGUCCCAGAGGGAAGGAAGAGCAAUUUUGAGCCUUAGGUGUCAAGAAUUGGGUGGGAGCUGCCCAGGGGACAAGGUCCUUCUGCUCAACAACGAGCACGGACUGACGUGGAGUUUUCUCCUGGGCCAAAUCGACAAAGCUGAAGCGAGAGAGCUGGGCUGUUCAGGGAGCCAGGCUGGCGAGGAGGAGCCACUGCAGGGCAGAGGAGGCCGGCGGCCCAUGCAUUUCACCGCAGUGAGCCGCCCAGACAACACUAAGAACCAUGCGCGUGUAGGUGGUUAUUGAUAGCUCCAGGCAGCCCAUCCUCCCCGUUGAUAAAGACACAAAUCUUAAUUAUGAACAGUUAGGAUGAAAAAACAACUGCCCUCAAGUUAGGAAAUUCAAACGGAUUAUUUCCUCAGAUCACACCACACAGAAGCGGGUCUGUUCUGUGAAGUUCAGCCGGCUCGGCCUGUUCCGAUGCCAAGCACAUUCCUGGGUCUAUCCCACUCGAGGCCAGCUAGACUUACGUUGCAGAAACUUGAGUUCCCCAGCCAGAGACAUACCUGGGAGCCCGGUGAGAGAGGCUGGGCCCUGGCAGCCCUGGCUUUUCAUGAAUACCCUUUUGAUCAGUGCCACAUGCAGUGGUCUUUCCAGAAAGAAUUGUAUUUUCUCACGGUACAAAAUGAAGAUCAGAGAUUGCAUUGCUGCUGAAAACGUCCCACAUCCUGCUCCAGAACAAUGUGUGGGAAGGGCAAAGACACAACCACUGCAAGCCUCCGUCACCCUUUGAGUGAAAUGCUUUUCUAAGCUUUAGGAAAUCAGUCUGAAUGACUAUAGGUUAUGAUUAUACGAGAAAUCGCAACAGGCUGUGCUGUGUACAUAAAAGACUACCAACCAUAUUAUAAAUUUAAUUUGAAGUUCCCUUUAGCUGGAAGAGUUCUUAAGUCUAUAAACAAGAUAAAUGUGCUUACGAGAGUGAGAUAAGAUACAUCCCUUAAAAGUAUGAUUAUGGGACUUUUGAACUAACAAUCUCUCCUCGUCCUUAACUCAGUGGGAAUAUUUUGGAUUUUGUACCAUUAGACAUGGCACUGGCUUCCCCUCCCCACCCCCCUGCAUGCACCUGAGGCAUGCGGAAAUUCCCAGUCUUGGCAUUGAACCCACACUACAGCAGCAACCCAAGCCACAGUAGUUGACAAUGCCAGAUCUGUAACCCACUGAGCCCCCAGGGGACUCCAGCAUUGGCUUUUAACUUGAGAUACAGUCUUUUUUUAAAAAAUUAUAUCAAUUCUUUUUAAAAUUAAGAGUAUGUUUUUUAAAGUUAGGAAUGGAAUAAACCCACCUAAGGAGGCAAAGGCCUGUAUUCCAAACACUGUAAGACACUAGUGAAAGAAACUGAAGAUGACACAAACAGAUGGAAAGAUACACUAUACUCUUGGAUUGGAAGAAUCAAUCCUAUUAAAAUGACCAUACUACCCAAAGCAAUCUACAGAUGCGAUGGAAUCCCUAUCAAAUUACCAAUGGCAUUUUCCACAGAGCUAAAACAAAAUUUUUUUUAAUUUAUAUGAAAACACAAAAGACUCUGAAUAGCCAAAAUAAUCUUGAGAAAGAAGUACAGAGCUGGAGGAAUCAGGCUUCCUGGCUUCAGACUAUACUACAAAGCUACAGUUUUAAGAACAGUGUGGUACUGUCGCAAAACAGACACAUGGUCAAUUAUCUACAACAAAGGAGGCAAGAAUAUAUAGUGGAGAAAAGACAAUCUCUUCAAUAAGUGGUCAAUAAGUGGUGCUGGGAUAACAGGACAGCUGCAUGUAAAAGAAUGAAAUUAGAACAUUCUCUAACACCAUAUACAAAAAUAAACUCAAAAUAGAUUAAAGUCCUAAAUAUAAGACCAGACACUAUAAAACUCUUGGAGGAAAAUAUAGGCAGAAAACUGUUUGACAUAAAUCACAGCAAUAUUUUUUGGAUACUUCACCUAGAGUAAUGGAAAUAAAAAGAAAAAUAAACAAAUGGAACCUAAUUAAACCUAAAAGCUUUUGCAUGGCAAAAGAAACCAUCAACAAAAUUAACAGAC